GUGGGUAUAGCUCAGUGGCAGAGUGCAUGCUUAGCAUGCAUAAGGUCCUGGGUUCAAUUCCCAGUACCUCCA
rnacentral:tRNA from 1 species